GAUUUCUCAACUGCAACAUUACUGCAAACUCACGGAGGUGGGACGGUCCAAAUGCAACGACUGAAGGAGAAGUUUACAAGACAGCGACUCCGCCCGCUCAUAUUUCAGACCAAUCCUGUCUAGGUCCUGUAGGCCAUCAAACUCUUGACUGAAAGCAAUCCAUGGGCUCUCUGACUGCUGGGGUGCCGUCCAAUCAGAUUUUAAGCAUGCAGGUACAUCUGAUUCAGCACAUCUUUGAACUUCUCCUGAGGGGAUAUGAGAGUUAAUGACAUCCUUGCAUUGACCCUGAGCUUCCAUGGCAGUGCCCAGCCUAAGACACACCCUGAUGGACAGCACGUACCACAUACGCAUCAACAGGGGUGGACAGCGUUGCAACCCCCCC